AUUCUUGAUCCUGCCAGUAGUUAUAUGCUUGUCUCAAAGAUUAAGCCAUGCAUGUCUAAGUACACACGAAUUAAAAGUGAAACCGCAAAAGGCUCAUUAUAUCAGUUAUGGUUCCUUAGAUCGUUAACAGUUACUUGGAUAACUGUGGUAAUUCUAGAGCUAAUACAUGCAAUUAAAACAUGAACCUUAUGGGACAUGUGCUUUUAUUAGGCUAAAACCAAGCGAUCGCAAGAUCGUUAUAUUGGUUGAACUCUAGAUAACAUGCAGAUCGUAUGGUCUUGUACCGACGACAGAUCUUUCAAAUGUCUGCCCUAUCAACUUUUGAUGGUAGUAUCUAGGACUACCAUGGUUGCAACGGGUAACGGGGAAUCAGGGUUCGAUUCCGGAGAGGGAGCCUGAGAAACGGCUACCACAUCUAAGGAAGGCAGCAGGCGCGUAAAUUACCCACUCCCAGCUCGGGGAGGUAGUGACGAAAAAUAACAAUACAGGACUCAUAUCCGAGGCCCUGUAAUUGGAAUGAGUACACUUUAAAUCCUUUAACAAGGACCAAUUGGAGGGCAAGUCUGGUGCCAGCAGCCGCGGUAAUUCCAGCUCCAAUAGCGUAUAUUAAAGUUGUUGCGGUUAAAACGUUCGUAGUUGAACUUGUGCUUCAUACGGGUAGUACAACUUACAAUUGUGGUUAGUACUAUACCUUUAUGUAUGUAAGCGUAUUACCGGUGGAGUUCUUAUAUGUGAUUAAAUACUUGUAUUUUUUCAUAUGUUCCUCCUAUUUAAAAACCUGCACUAGUGCUCUUAAACGAGUGUUUAUUGUGGGCCGGUACUAUUACUUUGAACAAAUUAGAGUGCUUAAAGCAGGCUUCAAAUGCCUGAAUAUUCUGUGCAUGGGAUAAUGAAAUAAGACCUCUGUUCUGCUUUUCAUUGGUUUUCAGAUCAAGAGGUAAUGAUUAAUAGAAGCAGUUUGGGGGCAUUAGUAUUACGACGCGAGAGGUGAAAUUCUUGGACCGUCGUAAGACUAACUUAAGCGAAAGCAUUUGCCAAGAUGUUUCAUAUCAGACGAAAGUUAGGAGGUUCGAAGGCGAUCGGAUACCGCCUUAGUUCUAACAUAAA
rfam:Drosophila simulans chrT_M_4885 genomic scaffold, whole genome shotgun sequence.